GACGAACGCUGGCGGCGUGCUUAACACAUGCAAGUCGAACGGAAAGGCCCUGCUUGCGGGGUGCUCGAGUGGCGAACGGGUGAGUAACACGUGGGUGAUCUGCCCCUUACUUUGGGAUAAGCCUGGGAAACUGGGGCUAAUACUGGAUAGGACCAUGCUGUAGGUGGUGUGGUGGAAAGAUUAUUUUCGGUGAGGGAUGAGCUCGCGGCCUAUCAGCUUGUUGGUGGGGUAAUGGCCUACCAAGGCGUCGACGGGUAGCCGGCCUGAGAGGGUGGACGGCGACAUUGGGACUGAGAGACGGCCCAGAGACCUCCGCGAGGCAGCAGUGGGGAGUAUUGCACAAUGGGGGUAAGCCCGAUGCAGAGACGCCGCGUGGGGGAUGUCAGCCUUCGCGUGGUGAAAUCCGCUCAGCCAUGACGAAGCGCUUGUGGUGACGGUAGUGGUAGAAGAAGCACCGGCUAACUACGUG
rnacentral:rRNA from 1 species